UACGUAGGUGGCAAGCGUUGUCCGGAAUUACUGGGCGUAAAGGGCGUGUAGGCGGCCUUUUAAGUCAGACGUGAAACCCCUGGGCUUAACCCAGGAACUGCGUUUGAAACUGGAGGGCUUGAGGACCGGAGAGGGUAGUGGAAUUCCCAGUGUAGCGGUGAAAUGCGUAGAUAUUGGGAGGAACACCAGUGGCGAAGGCGACUGCCUGGACGGCCCCUGACGCUGAGGCGCGAAAGCUAGGGGAGCAAACGGG
rnacentral:rRNA from 1 species